rnacentral:rRNA from 1 species
UACGUAGGGGGCGAGCGUUGUCCGGAAUCAUUGGGCGUAAAGAGCGUGUAGGCGGUCCGGUAAGUCGGCUGUGAAAGUCCAGGGCUCAACCCUGGGAUGCCGGUCGAUACUGCCGGACUAGAGUUCGGAAGAGGCGAGUGGAAUUCCCGGUGUAGCGGUGAAAUGCGCAGAGUAUCGGGAGGAACACCUAUGGCGAAGGCAGCUCGCUGGGACGUUACUGACGCUGAGACGCGAAAGCGUGGGGAGCAAACAGG